GAUGAACGCUAGCGGCAGGCCUAACACAUGCAAGUCGAACGGCAGCGGGAAGGAGCUUGCUCCUUUGCCGGCGAGUGGCGCACGGGUGCGUAACGCGUAUACAACCUACCUUAUACAGGGGUAUAGCCCAGGGAAACUUGGAUUAACACCCCAUAGUAAUAUGUUUUGGCAUCAUUACAUAUUUAAAACUACGGUGGUAUAAGAUGGGUAUGCGUCCCAUUAGCUUGUUGGUGUGGUAACGGCACACCAAGGCAACGAUGGGUAGGGGCCCUGAGAGGGGGAUCCCCCACACUGGUACUGAGACACGGACCAG
rnacentral:rRNA from 1 species